UACGUAGGGGGCAAGCGUUGUCCGGAAUCAUUGGGCGUAAAGAGCGUGUAGGCGGUCCGGUAAGUCGGCUGUGAAAGUCCAGGGCUCAACCCCUGGGAUGCCGGUCGAUACUGCCGGACUAGAGUUCGGAAGAGGCGAGUGGAAUUCCCGGUGUAGCGGUGAAAUGCGCAGAGUAUCGGGAGGAGCACCUAUGGCGAAGGCAGCUCCGCUGGGACGUUACUGACGCUGAGACGCGAAAGCGUGGGGAGCAAACAGG
rnacentral:rRNA from 1 species